AGUUUGUCCCUGCAAAAAGGAAUCAUAAAUUAUUAUAAAUGGGCCCCAGACGUGGCGCAGACAAGGGAGAACAUGAUAAAAAAAUAGGACUUUGCUUUGGGAGGGACAAGAUGGUUUGCAAACUCCACCAGGAUAACUCUGCAGCCAGCACACAUCUGUAGCUGAGAUGUCUGAAAUCCAUUUUAAUGCCUAAUUUAUAUCACUCUGCUUAAAUAAAAUGAACCCCCAAACCCUUAAAGUAAUGUUGCUUUUCCUUAAAUACAUGAGCAGCUUCAGCCUACUUUUGAGGGCUGUGGAGAGUGCAAACACCUCCCAAAAUCCCAGAGACUCCAGCAGGACUUUGAAAAAGGAAGGCUUGUGCUGCUAAUCUCUUACAGAUCAACUGCAGGGUUAUCGAGGAGAUGGACACAGCAUCUGUGGAGUGAUGUGGCAUUUUUUUGGAGGGAGAGACCCUGUGCUGAAAACUGCAGUUUCAUACAGGCAGAAAUCUUUGUGUAAAGAACUUGUGACAUGAGUGGAAGGAUGUUGGUGCUUCAGCUAAAUCUCAUUAAGCUUUAAAGAAGCCAUGUUAAAAAAAAAAAAAAUUAAGUGGGAGAAAACCUCUUUAAGAGGAGAUUUAUGCCAGAAAAACUGGAAUCCUUCUCACCUCCCUGUCUGCCUAGAGGUUGGGUGUCUCCUUUAAGCUGGUUUGAUCUGCUCCUUCCCACUUGGCGCGGAGGAAGCGGCGCCUCUGUGGGGUGAAGGGGGUUAAGGAUGGUUUGUUCUACAAGGAGUGAGGUGGAUUAUCUGCUGGGAGUGAUUAUGGAAUGAGGAUCUGGGUUGCUGAGCUUUUUCUGUUGUUAAUGCUACAUUUUCCUCUGCAAAUAGGUGAUUUAAAUAAUGGGAAGUCCUCUGGCCGUUGUUGCCCAGGAAUCUGAGAGAUGGACACCCUUUUAUCCUCUCCUAAACCUUAGACAGAGUUAGGGCGACUGAGGGACAAUGCUGCAUCCUCUCCAGCAUCCCUUCCCCUUUAGCCUAACCCCAGUGAUAGGUAUAAAUGCACCAGAUUCCCUGGAGAAAGGUGCUGCUGCUGGUUGAGCAUUUUAUCCCACCUCCUUCAGCUGCUUUGGACAUGAGCUGUUCCAUGUGUUGGAUCCCUCCUUUUCCCCCUCACUGUCUCUUGACUCUGUUUUGGGCCCACCCAGCUGUGUCUGUAGCAGAUGAAUCCUUCACAGAGGGCCUGCCUACCAACACCAGCACCUUCCAUAUGGAUAUUCAGGAGCUGAUGUUGCUCCAUUUGCUCCACCAACAAAAGAAUUCCAGCUCAGGCUCUCAACAUUUGCCUUCCACUGCCCACCUGGUGGAGUACACGGAGUUCUCACCUCUUUUCUCUUUUGUUUUUUUUUCUGUUGUUCCUCAGACAAGGGCAGCUAAGCUGGGAUCUGCUCUGCCUUUUGCUGGGGAUAUGAUGAAGGAAUGAACCCUGACUCUCAUGAAAUCCCAGCUUGGGUCUUGUCCCCAGCUUUACUGAGGCUGGGUCUUGACCUCAAAUUCCAGCUCCAGCACUUCUGCUGAUGGACAUUCUCACUUCUGGGUGAAACUUCUCCGUUCUUUGAGUGCUGAAGGAACAACAGACACAGGUCCCACCCAAGCCUCUCACACAGAGGAACGAGCAAAAAUUUUACCCAGCGAACGCAGCAGAGAUUUGUCCCGAAGUGGCAGCCCCCAGCCAGGGUGGGAAAGCUGUAGCACCAGUUGAGGGGCGCUCUCGAGGAACGUUUCCAGGAGGCGCAGCAUGUUUACGUCUGCAUAUUCGUACAUCAUAGCCCAGUAGAAACGCCGCUGGUGUUCCUUACGCCUCUGGCUCUGGAUCCCCAGGUGGAGCAACGAGACACCACCUUCACAUGCAGCACGUGUGUGACCCACAGGUGUGAAAGGCCACAGUUUGUCACUGGUCAGCUUUGAGGCUUUGGGCAAUGUUGGAGUACAAGGAGGUGUCUCAUGCACGGGCAGGCACAGCUCUACCAUUGCCUCUGUCUCAGGAUUCAUGGCAUUUAAGAAAAAACCCCUAUCAGAGUCCUUUCUAAUGCCUGUUGAUAUCACAGAAUCCCAGAAUGGUUUGGGUUGGAAAAUCAUCUUGUUCCAACCCCCUGCCAUGGGUAGGGGCACCUUCCACUAUUCCAGGUUGCUCCAAGCCCUGUCCAGCCCAGCCUUGGACACUUCUAAGGAUCAACAAUCUAUCAUUGGGUCUUCUUCGUUCUCUUCCUGAGCGGUGACUGUAACCUCGUUCGGGAUGGGAACCGUUUCACCUAAUGCCGACCCUGAAGCAGUCUGAGCCAGUCAAUAGUCGGAAAUGUCCCCUCCCGGGACUGUUCAUCUGUCCCAGCUCCGCUGCCAGCACGGCAGCGGGAUGAAGCGCCUUCUGGAGGCUCUGGGAGGGGCUCACGGCACAAGCUGGGGUUUGGCCAAAACGAUUAGAUCAUCCCCUGCCACUCGGGCGAGACUGCACAGGCGGGGAGAGCGGGAGGGAAGGACGUGAGCCUGGACAGCCGCCGGAUCUCCGAAUUACACCCAGGCACGGGGAGCUGGGAGAGAAGCAGAGGCAGCUCUGCGAACCCUGUCCUUUAUCCAGCAUCUCGUCCUUCCUGCCCGCUCGCAGCUGGCUGGCACAGGAGGCGAAAAAUCCCGAAAGAGGACUGCAAGGACACACAAAAAAUAACGCAGGAAAGCCACCAGAUGGGGCUCGACACUCGAGAAAAUGCUACGCCAGUCAUACGACACUGGUGACACUGGUGUGACAUCCACAGCAGACCCCGAGUGGGACGGAAAUGGCCGUGGAGCACCUGCUCUCCCAACACGCCCAAAUCCACCACCUGCACUUGGCAUUUCCAUGGAAGACCCCAACCCCGGGAGCUGCAGCGUGACACAGGCAUCCUGCCUUCCUUUCACCCAGGAAUUAAAUA